AACGCGAAGAACCUUACCAGCCCUUGACAUCCCGGUCGCGGGAACGAGAGAUCGAUCCCUUCAGUUCGGCUGGACCGGAGACAGGUGCUGCAUGGCUGUCGUCAGCUCGUGUCGUGAGAUGUUGGGUUAAGUCCCGCAACGAGCGCAACCCUCGCCCUUAGUUGCCAUCAUUCAGUUGGGCUCUCUAAGGGGACUGCCGGUGAUAAGCCGCGAGGAAGGUGGGGAUGACGUCAAGUCCUCAUGGCCCUUACGGGCUGGGCUACACACGUGCUACAAUGGCGGUGACAAUGGGACGCAAUGGGGCAACCCUGCGCAAAUCUCAAAAAGCCGUCUCAGUUCGGAUUGCACUCUGCAACUCGAGUGCAUGAAGUUGGAAUCGCUAGUAAUCGCAGAUCAGCACGCUGCGGUGAAUACGUUCCCGGGCCUUGUACACACCGCUAGUC
rnacentral:rRNA from 1 species